AUUCACAUUGUGAGCGCAUUCACGGAUAAUACCGCCCCGGUCUGCACACCGGGAAUCCAGGAGAGUUCAUGUAC
rnacentral:sRNA from 1 species